rfam:Rattus norvegicus chromosome 20, whole genome shotgun sequence.
GGGGAUUUAGCUCAGUGGUAGAGCGCUUGCCUAGCAAGUGCAAGGUCCCGGGUUCAGUCCCCA